ACGGGAGGCAGCAGUAAGGAAUAUUGGUCAAUGGACGCAAGUCUGAACCAGCCAUGCCGCGUGGAGGAUGAAGGUCCUCUGGAUUGUAAACUUCUUUUAUCUGGGAAGAAAAAAGGGAAUUCUUUCUCGUCUGACGGUACCAGAAGAAUAAGCACCGGCUAACUCCGUGCCAGCAGCCGCGGUAAUACGGAGGGUGCAAGCGUUAUCCGGAUUCACUGGGUUUAAAGGGUGCGUAGGCGGGUAUGUAAGUCCGUGGUGAAAUCUCCGAGCUUAACUCGGAAACUGCCAUGGGUACUGCGUAUCUUGAAUGUGGUGGAGGUGAGCGGAAUAUGUCAUGUAGCGGUGAAAUGCUUAGAUAUGACAUAGAACACCAAUUGCGAAGGCAGCUCACUACACAAAUAUUGACGCUGAGGCACGAAAGCGUGGGGAUCAAACAGGAUUAGAUACCCUGGUAGUCCACGCCCUAAACGAUGAUUACUCGACAUACGCGAUACACAGCAUGUGUCUGAGCGAAAGCAUUAAGUAAUCCACCUGGAGAC
rnacentral:rRNA from 1 species